AUUGAACGCUGGCGGCAGGCCUAACACAUGCAAGUCGAACGGAGUGGCGGACGGGUGAGUAAUGUCUGGGAAACUGCCUGAUGGAGGGGGAUAACUACUGGAAACGGGCGCUAAUACCGCAUACUAUCAGAUGAGCCUAGGUCGGAUUAGCUAGUUGGUGGGGUAAAGGCCUACCAAGGCGACGAUCCGUAACUGGUCUGAGAGGAUGAUCAGUCACACUGGAACUGAGACACGGUCCAGACUCCUACGGGAGGCAGCAGUGGGGAAUAUUGGACAAUGGGCGAAAGCCUGAUGCAGCCAUGCCGCGUGUGUGAAGAAGGUCUUCGGAUUGUAAAGCACUUUAAGCUGGGAGGCGUUACCAACAGAAGAAGCACCGGCUAACUCCGUGCCAGCAGCCGCGGUAAUAC
rnacentral:rRNA from 1 species